CCUAGGGCGGCUGCAGUGGGGAAUAUUGGACAAUGGGCGAAAGCCUGAUCCAGCCAUGCCGCGUGUGUGAAGAAGGCCUUCGGGUUGUAAAGCACUUUCAGUGGGGAAGAAAGCCUUGGGGCUAAUACCCUCGAGGAAGGACAUCACCCACAGAAGAAGCACCGGCUAACUCCGUGCCAGCAGCCGCGGUAAUACGGAGGGUGCGAGCGUUAAUCGGAAUUACUGGGCGUAAAGCGCGCGUAGGCGGUCUGAUAAGCCGGUUGUGAAAGCCCCGGGCUCAACCUGGGAACGGCAUCCGGAACUGUCAGGCUAGAGUGCAGGAGAGGAAGGUAGAAUUCCCGGUGUAGCGGUGAAAUGCGUAGAGAUCGGGAGGAAUACCAGUGGCGAAGGCGGCCUUCUGGACUGACACUGACGCUGAGGUGCGAAAGCGUGGGUAGCAAACAGGAUUAGAUACCCUUGUAGUC
rnacentral:rRNA from 1 species